rnacentral:rRNA from 1 species
GAGUUUGAUCCUGGCUCAGAACGAACGCUGGCGGCAGGCUUAACACAUGCAAGUCGAACGCGUGUAGCAAUACACGAGUGGCGCACGGGUGAGUAACGCGUGGAUAUCUGCCUUUUGGUUCGGAAUAACCCCGGGAAACUGGGGCUAAUACCGGAUGGUUCCUUCGGGAUAAAGAUUUAUCGCCAAAAGAUGAGUCCGCGUACGAUUAGCUAGUUGGUGAGGUAAUGGCUCACCAAGGCGACGAUCGUUAGCUGGUCUGAGAGGACGAUCAGCCACACUGGGACUGAGACACGGCCCAGACUCCUACGGGAGGCAGCAGUGGGGAAUAUUGGACAAUGGGGGCAACCCUGAUCCAGCCAUGCCGCGUGAGUGAUGAAGGCCUUCGGGUUGUAAGCUCUUUUGGCGGGGACGAUGAUGACGGUACCCGCAGAAUAAGCCCCGGCUAACUUCGUGCCAGCCGCCGCAGUAAG